AGAUUGAACGCUGGCGGCAGGCCUAACACAUGCAAGUCGAGCGGCAGCACGGGUACUUGUACCUGGUGGCGAGCGGCGGACGGGUGAGUAAUGCCUAGGAAUCUGCCUGGUAGUGGGGGAUAACGCUCGGAAACGGACGCUAAUACCGCAUACGUCCUACGGGAGAAAGCAGGGGACCUUCGGGCCUUGCGCUAUCAGAUGAGCCUAGGUCGGAUUAGCUAGUUGGUGAGGUAAUGGCUCACCAAGGCGACGAUCCUUAGCUGGUCUGAGAGGAUGAUCAGCCACACGUGGACUGAGACACGGCCCAGACCUCCGUACGGGAGCAGCAGGUAGGGAAUAGUGGACAAGUGGGCACGAAGCCUGACUCCAGCAAUCGGCCGCGGUGAGUGAGUGAAGGUCCGUUAAGGUUACGUAAA
rnacentral:rRNA from 1 species